CCUACGGGUGGCAGCAGUGGGGAAUAUUGCACAAUGGGGGAAACCCUGAUGCAGCAACGCCGCGUGAGUGAUGACGGCCUUCGGGUUGUAAAGCUCUGUCUUCAGGGACAAUAAUGACGGUACCUGAGGAGGAAGCCACGGAUAAGUACGUGCCAGCAGCCGCGGUAAUACGUAGGUAGCGGGCGUUGUCCGGAUUUACUGGGCGUAAAGGGGACGUAGGCGGUUUUUUAAGUGAGAUGUGAAAUGGUUGGGCACAACUUGAGGGCUGCAAUUGAAACUGGAAGUCUUGAGUGCAGGGGAGGGAGGUGGAAUUCGUGGUGUAGCGGUGAAAUGCGUAGAUAGAAGGAAGAACACGGGUGGCGAAGGCGGCUGACUGGCCUGUCGCUGACGUUGAGGCACGAAAGUGUGGGGAGCAAACAGGAUUAGAUACCCUGGUAGUC
rnacentral:rRNA from 1 species